GGAAAAAAAUGAACAGAGUGCAUUAAAGAGCAGAGCAUUUUUCAAAUUGAAAUUUGGGAUACCUACUCCUCCAAAGAGAUGAGUUACAAAUUUAAAAUGAUAGAGAGAGUCACUGAGCAGAGUUUUUAUUUUCCUGUUCAAUUUUGUCCUUUUCCUCCUCAUUUUUUUCUUUUUCCAUUUUCUUUUUCUUAAGGAAAUUGAGGACUUCCCCAAGAGCAACAUCGGCAUCAUCACUCUUCAAUAGUUCUUCAGCCAGAGAAGCAGGGGUAACCUCUGUACUCUGGAUCAAUCCAUCAAUUUCUUCAAAGAGAUGGUGUUCUUCAAUCCCAAGAUAGUUAGAGACCAAUACUCUGAAUCCUUGAGUGCUGCAAUAUGACAUGUGAAUGUGCAUAUCCAUCCUCCCAGGACGAAGCAAUGCAGGGUCCAAA
rnacentral:misc_RNA from 1 species